CUAGUACCGAUGUUAACGCGAUAACCAUUCCGCCUUGAGAGUACGGUCGCAAGACUGAAACCAAAAAAAUUA
rnacentral:rRNA from 3 species